AUAGCGUAUAUUAAAGUUGUUGCAGUUAAAAAGCUCGUAGUUGAACUUCAGACCUGACCGGGCGGUCCGCCUAACGGUGUGUACUGUCUGGCCGGGCCUUACCUCUUGGUGAGCCGGCAUGCCCUUCACUGGGUGUGUCGGGGAACCAGGACCUUUACCUUGAGAAAAUUAGAGUGUUCAAAGCAGGCUUACGCCGGAAUACAUUAGCAUGGAAUAAUAAAAUAGGACGUGCGGUUCUAUUUUGUUGGUUUCUAGAGUCGCCGUAAUGAUUAAUAGGGAUAGUUGGGGGCAUUUGUAUUGCGUUGCUAGAGGUGAAAUUCUUGGAUUUACGCAAGACAAACUAUUG
rnacentral:rRNA from 1 species